rnacentral:rRNA from 1 species
UACGGGGGGAGCAAGCGUUGUUCGGAUUUACUGGGCGUAAAGGGCGCGUAGGCGGCCACCGCAAGUCGACUGUGAAAUCUCCGGGCUUAACCCGGAAAGGUCAGCCGAUACUGCGGGGCUAGAGUGCAGAAGGGGCAACUGGAAUUCUCGGUGUAGCGGUGAAAUGCGUAGAUAUCGAGAGGAACACCUGUGGCGAAGGCGGGUUGCUGGGCUGACACUGACGCUGAUGUGCGAAAGCUAGGGGAGCGAACGGG